rnacentral:lncRNA from 12 species
CAGGCUUAUCAGGACUGAGGGCAGCUCCGUGGUGACUUGAUCUGCUGCUGCAUCGAUCUGGCAAAGGUUGGGGGUGAAAGCCCCACAGCCUCCAGACGAGGCCAUAGAGCUUUUAGGAUGCAGUUUUCCCACACUCUGUCCAUCACAAAGCAAACAAACACCCCCAGCCUGGAGGCAGCUGGCUCAGGGAGGCUUUUCAAGUGCCUGGGAGCGGGGCUGGAGUCACGGGGAGCUGCACAGCCCGACAGCUGCAGUGCUGGAGGGCAGUUUGAGCAGCCAGCUCCUCCAGGGGCACAGAGCUGAGAGCCUGCUGGGCAGCCCCCCACUCCUGCCCGCUGAAACAGCCCCGUGGAGGUGGCUCUGGACUGCGGGACUUCCUCCUCAGCAGCUGCCAGGGCUGGAUCAGGGAUGGGACUGCAUCACCCUCACACCCCACGGAGAUCUGCUGCCCCAGGGGCUCGGGGCACCCCGCUCCAGCUCAGUGCCAGGGCACACCAGGGUGUCCCUUCACCAGGGGAUGUGCCCUGGAGAGCCCAGUGCUGGAGGAACAGCUGCAAUGCUGCCCUGGCCCUUCUCAGCUGCCUGGAUCCCCCGUGCCUGCAAUCCCCGGGGAAUCCACCCACGCAGCAUUCCCAGCUGGAGAAAAGCUGCUGCAGGGCCAGCAGCUCCUGGGAGGGGGUCCUGAGGUACCCCAA